rnacentral:rRNA from 1 species
UACGGAGGGGGCUAGCGUUGUUCGGAAUUACUGGGCGUAAAGCGCACGUAGGCGGCUUUGCAAGUUAGAGGUGAAAGCCCGGGGCUCAACUCCGGAAUUGCCUUUAAAACUGCAUCGCUAGAAUUGUGGAGAGGUAAGUGGAAUUCCGAGUGUAGAGGUGAAAUGCGUAGAUAUCGGGAGGAACACCUGUGGCGAAAGCGGCGCACUGGACCACAACUGACGCUGAGGCGCGAAAGCUAGGGGAGCAAACAGG